ACUCCUACAGGGAGGCAGCAGGUGGGGAAUAUUGCACGAAAUGGGGGAAACCCUGAUGCAGCCAUGCCGCGUGUGUGAAGAAGGCCUUCGGGUUGUAAAGCACUUUCAGUAGGGAGGAAGGUAGUGUAGUUAACACCUGCAUUAUUUGACGUUACCUACAGAAGAAGCACCGGCUAACUCCGUGCCAGCAGCCGCGGUAAUACGGAGGGUGCGAGCGUUAAUCGGAAUUACUGGGCGUAAAGCGCAUGCAGGCGGCCUGUUAAGUCAGAUGUGAAAGCCCGGGGCUUAACCUCGGAAUUGCAUUUGAAACUGGCAGGCUAGAGUCUUGUAGA
rnacentral:rRNA from 1 species